AAGGCAGCCUUUUUCCCCCUGAGCACAACUCUAAUUAACAGCGGUGGAUGUAGAGAGGCCAGGCAAUGUGGAGCUACUAAGAGGGCCUGGGGCACUGGGCAGACUCACUGUCACCUCGGCUUAAGUGCUGGGUCUUGGGCAGCCAUCUCCUCUCAUCAGAUGCUUUCAGGAAAUGGGUUUGUGGUCAGCAAAAAUAAGCAAGAGCACAAAAGAAACCACCGCCAGUCCUCAGGCGCUGACUGCGAGGUAGAGCGUCAGAGAGGGAGAGACUGAAAGAGAAAGAAAGACUUGGAGCCAAGUAUGAGCAGUAUCCACUGACCUGACAGUGCUUCCUCAGUGGUGGAAUGGACCCACAAUGGGCCGGAACGGCAAGAAUGUGAUGGUGAAGCCUGGCCACUGACAGUCUGCCCCUAGGGGCACAAAUUACCCUGACUGGUACAAAGAAAAGAUGACACACGCAGCCUCAGGCCCCGUCUUCCUGGUCUUCCCGUCUCCAGUACAACCUAGUGAAUCAGAUUGCUUCCAAUUAAAGAUUCAGUCUUUUUUUUUUUUUCAAUGUCCACCGUGCUUUGUCUCAUAACACAGACAUGUCUU
ensembl:lncRNA